rnacentral:rRNA from 1 species
GUACGCUGGCGGCACGCCUAACACAUGCAAGUCGAACGAAGUAGCAAUACUUAGUGGCAGACGGGUGAGUAACAUGUAGGUAUCUGCCCUUUGGCCUGGAAUAACACGAGGAAACUUGUGCUAAUACCGGAUAAGUCUUUACGGAGAAAGCUUUAUGCACCAUUGGAUGAGCCUGCACUUGAUUAGUUUGUUGGUGGGGUAAUGGCCUACCAAGACUGUGAUCAAUAGCUGAUUUGAGAGGAUGAUCAGCCACAUUGGGACUGAGACACGGCCCAAACUCCUACGGGAGGCAGCAGUGGGGAAUCUUGCACAAUGGAGGAAACUCUGAUGCAGCGAUGCCGCGUGAGUGAAGAAGGCCUUUGGGUUGUAAAGCUCUUUCGUCGGGGAAGAAAAUGACUGUACCCGAAUAAGAAGGUC